rnacentral:rRNA from 1 species
UACGUAGGGGGCUAGCGUUAUCCGGAAUUACUGGGCGUAAAGGGUGCGUAGGCGGUCUUUCAAGCCAGAAGUGAAAGGCUACGGCUCAACCGUAGUAAGCUUUUGGAACUGUAAGACUUGAGUGCAGGAGAGGAGAGUGGAAUUCCUAGUGUAGCGGUGAAAUGCGUAGAUAUUAGGAGGAACACCAGUGGCGAAGGCGACUUUCUGGACUUAUACUGACGCUGAGGAACGAAAGCGUGGGGAGCAAACAGGAUUAGAUACCCGGGUAGUCCCUGAGCGGGCU